CAGAUUUGGGGGAGGCUCAGGCAAGUGGCUUUUCAGCUUAAGUAUUUCUGCAGAAUUCUUUCUUCAUGAAAGCUAAAGCACGUUAAAUCCCCAUAGAGCAGGAGCAGGCCAAGGUUGCUCUGUGUGCUUAAAACAGAUACUCAGCAUUGAAAAUGAACUGGAAAGAGUGGAGGAGAGGAGAACUGAAAACAGGGAUAUUCAAGUCAACAGCAUUGCAGAGAGAGUAAUCAAAGGCCAAAAAAUGUGCAAGCUGUAUCAGCAAGUUAAGGUGAAAGAUCUCUGGCAGGCCUACCAGAAGGUGGACACCAGGAUAGCAUCUGCUAACUCCCCAUUGGUCUCCUCCUAUGACCUGGGGGUUGCUGUUACUGGUAAAUAUAUGGAGAGUGGUGGGCAGCUAUAUGCAUCUCAACUUUCACUUGACUAUAGAAAACGGGAAGGAGCUUUGGUACCUGUCAGAUGCUUUUGGGAGUUGUGCUUCAUCUUUAUGCUUUUGGCAAGGGAAGACUUUCAGACUUGCUCACCAAAUGUCUUGUGCAGCUCUACUCUGAGGUUUCUGGUCUAUGAACUAAAUCAUUCUCCCACUCUAUUAUGCAACACAAGUCUGUUGAACCUCCGUAUGGACUGUUUUACCAACUUGAGCUGCUUGCUGAACUUUCUUGACAUACACCUGGUAAAUAUUCUAAUUUCCAUUCUGUUGUCACUGAUUACUUUUUCGUAUUCCUGAGGAGAUGUCAUACUUGUGAAUUCAUGAAAUAUUUUAAAUAUUAUUAUAAAUGCAUCUUAAGUGUUGUCAAGGUUAAGUCAGAAAUGACACAAGUCAGAAAGUUUUCAUUAAAAGUAAAAAGUAUUUAUCUCCUGCUGCUUUGGUC
rnacentral:lncRNA from 1 species